rnacentral:tRNA from 1 species
GUCGGUAGCGCGCUCCCUUAGCAUGGGAGAGGUCUCCGGUUCGAUUCCGGACUCGUCCA